rnacentral:rRNA from 1 species
AUGGGUGUCCUUGACUCUUGGGACAAGGAGGAUUGCUGUCGCUGGAGGGGCAUCAAGUGCAGCAACUGGACCGGCCAUGUCCUUAGACUUCAUCUUCGUAAUCUGCAUGUGGACAUGAUCGAUGGGUACUACACAGACACAGCUUUGGUUGGCCAGAUAAGUAACUUUUUGCUUUCCAUGGAUCGUCUAGUGCACCUUGAUCUUAGCAUGAAUUAUCUCGAGGGCCCAAGUGGCCGCAUGCCAGAGUUCUUGGGCUCUUUGGUGAGAUUGAGAUAUCUUAACCUCUCCGGCAUACCGUUUUCUGGCAGAGUGCCCCCUCAACUCGGCAACCUCUCAAACCUGCAGCAUCUUGACCUCUCAUGCCAAAUUCGUACAGAAAGUAUGUAUUCAAGAGACAUUUCAUGGGUAGCGCGCAUCCCUAACUUGCAGUAUCUUGGAAUGAAUUUUGUAGACCUCAGCACAAUAGUUGAUUGGCCUUAUGUUGUUAACAUGAUUCCUUCUUUGAAGGCCCUCAAUCUACGGUAUUGCUCUCUUUCAACCGCAAAUCAUUCACUCCCACAUAUUAACCUUACCAAACUCGAGAGCCUUGAUCUCUCCCACAACACUUUUGCCCACCCAAUGGCACAAAGUUGGCUUUGGAAUUUGACAGGACUCCAGCAUCUCUACCUUGCCAGCACUCAUCUAUAUGGUCAAGCUCCUGAUGCACUGGCACAUAUGACGUCCCUCCAAGUCCUUGAUUUGUCAUUUAAUAGUAACAUGGGGAGGAUGACUACAAGCUUCAGAAAUCUAUGCAAUCUGAGAAGCCUGAACCUCCUUUCAUGUCCAAUUGAUGGAAAUAUAAAGGAUGUUAUGGAGAGGAUGCCACAGUGUCCCUUGAACAAGCUGCAGGAGUUACAUUUGGGCAACAGCGAUAUUACCGGAAUCAUGCCGGAUCGGAUAGCACACUUGACCAGCUUAACCGUUCUUGACAUCUCCCAUAACAACCUAACUGGAGGCAUACCACGAGGGGUGGGGCUGCUCUCUAGUUUAAGCAUCCUUGAUCUCUCUAACAACAAUCUCAAUGGACCUGUACCAUCUGAGAUUGGCAUGCUUGGUAAUUUGACCGUAUUGGAACUUGGAGGCAACAAUCUCAGCGGGCAUGUGCCAUCUGACAUCGGUAUGCUUGGGAAUUUGACCAUGAUGGAUCUUGGAGGCAACAAUUUGAAUGGUGACCUCACCGAAGAACAUUUUACAAGUUUAACGAGGUUAGAGGAGCUACAUUUAAAUGGGAAUUCUUUGAGGAUUACAGUUGGUCCUGAUUGGAUACCACCUUUCAGUUUAGAAGAAACAGAUCUUGGUUCCUGCCAACUGGGCCCUUCGUUUCCUGCAUGGCUUCAGUUCCAAGUGGGCAUUCUCUCGAUGGGUAUAUCAAGCACAGGUAUAGUGGAUAGGCUUCCUGACUGGUUCAACACUACAUUUGCAAAGGCCAUUUCUCUGGACAUCUCAAACAAUGAAAUCAACGGCAGGUUGCCAGGAAACAUGGAAUUCAUGUCACUGCAAUAUUUCAUUAUCAGUUCAAAUAAACUAACUGGUGAAAUCCCAACCUUACCAAGAAAUAUUACCUACGUGGACAUGUCUCAAAACUCCUUAUCUGGAAAUUUGCCAUCAAACAUCGGGACUCCAGAUUUGAGUUCAUUAGUGCUGGUCUCCAAUCAAAUAACAGGUCAUAUUCCCGAAUCUCUCUGCAAAGUGAAGCCUUGA